rnacentral:rRNA from 1 species
AGAGUUUGAUCAUGGCUCAGGACUAACGCUGGCGGCGUGCCUAACACAUGCAAGUCGAACGAGGUAGCAAUACCUAGUGGCAGACGGGUGAGUAACACGUGGUCAACCUGCCUUUUAGUGGGGGAUAACUAGCCGAAAGGUUAGCUAAUACCGCAUACGAUCGUUGAGCGGCAUCGCAUAACGAUGAAAGAAGCAAUUCGCUAAAAGAGGGGACUGCGUCCCAUUAGUUAGUUGGUGGGGUAAUGGCCUACCAAGACUCCGAUGGGUAGCUGGCUUGAGAGAGCGACCAGCCACACUGGAACUGAGACACGGUCCAGACUCCUACGGGAGGCAGCAGUGAGGAAUUUUCCGCAAUGGGGGAAACCCUGACGGAGCGACGCCGCGUGUGGGAAGAAGGCCUUCGGGUCGUAAACCACUGUCGAAGGGGACGAUAUUGACGGUACCCUUGGAGGAAGCCCCGGCUAACUACGUGCCAGCAGCCGCGGUAAUAC